GACGAACGCUGGCGGCGUGCUUAACACAUGCAAGUCGAGCGGUAAGGCCCUUUCGGGGGUACACGAGCGGCGAACGGGUGAGUAACACGUGGGUGACCUGCCUCUAGCUCUGGGAUAAGCCUGGGAAGCUGGGUCUAAUACCGGAUAUGACCUCGCGGUGCAUGUUGCGGGGUGGAAAGCCUUGUGCGGCUAGGGAUGGGCCCGCGGCCUAUCAGCUUGUUGGUGGGGUGANGGCCUACCAAGGCGACGACGGGUAGCCGGCCUGAGAGGGCGACCGGCCACACUGGGACUGAGACACGGCCCAGACUCCUACGGGAGGGCAGCAGUGGGGAAUCUUGCGCAAUGGGCGAAAGCCUGACGCAGCGACGCCGCGUGAGGGAUGACGGCCU
rnacentral:rRNA from 1 species